rnacentral:lncRNA from 1 species
UUGAUUUCUCCAAGUAGGAGAAACAAGAAAUAUAAAUAAAUUGUAUAAAAGAGUUACAAUUACUAGCUAUAUUUUGUGUUCUUCCUAUAUUUUCAUGUACAAGAAGGCUUAAAAACUUGAAUCCUUGUUUCUGGUUUCAUCAAUUUCCACAGAAGCUGAGACAAUUUAUGUAGUAGUAUGAGAAUCUGGCGGUGCAUGAGCGGCGCCGCCACCAGCAUAGUGCUUUUCGUUUAUUGGGCACGAGCCAGUGCUGCCGCCACCCGGAAUAUAAGUGCACUUAGAACCACCGGAGGACGGCACAUCACCCCUUGGAAGAGAGGCCAUUAAUGUAGCUUCUCUUUUUAGCCAUUGCUCCAUACCCAAAGGUCUCAUUGCAUUUCCUUCUUGAAUAAACAUCGACGCGAACAAAACCGAAAAAAUUAGAAAAGUUGCAGUCCUCAAGAGAGCCAUCGAUCAAUAUCUCUUGGGAUCUUUGAUUAUCUGUGAAUCUGCGAAAAACCUGAAAACUUUGAAGCAAGA